UUUGGUUGACAGGGUUUGCAAUAUAGAGAUGACAUGGUGCAAAACAGUUAAAAAUCCAAUCUUUACAAGUUAUCAAAUGCCAUAGUAAGAAAAACUUGCUACAGAACAUUUUGUUGGUAGGCAUCUGGCUAUCAAAUUGAAAUUAGAGCAGAAUGCGAGUAUUACAUAAUUAUCACGAAUCAAACAUAGGAUAACUAUCAUUGAUAACACACUACUGACAAAAAUAAAAUGUCCUCUAAACCACCAGAACACAGCAAAACAGGCCCUCCCUUCAUUGCUUAGCAACCACGACGCACCUAAAACAGAUGAAACAAAAAACCAUGAAAUCGUGAAUAAACCAUAUAUAUUAAGAAAAGCAGACGUGUAAAAAUCGAGAAUUAAACCUUGUCAACCACGACACAUCCAUGUAAAUUGUGUAAAACAGGAGCAUGAUACAACAUUGCAAUUUUUCCAUGCUAUUAAGUAUAUGGCGAAUAGACCAUCGAGCAACAGCUACUGUUCGACGACGGACCAAAGAACAUCAUCAAGUCAUAAUAAAAAAUAUUAGUUGAGUCCAAGAAUAGCAUCAGGUCAAGAACUUCAAAUAGCUAUAGUAAACAUUUGACUGAAAAACUGUAUGAAAGAAAACUAUAUGGAAAAUUCAGGAAGCUAGCUAGUUCAGUACUGUACUAAACUAGCAUGUAUUAAGUAUACUACAUGUUCCUGUGACCCUGUGCCUAAAAGUCCAUCCAUGCAGCUCAUAACAUCUUUUAAUUUAAACCAUUCAUGCACCUCACAUCAUUUGAACAAGAAAACAAGACCUGAUCCAAUCAGGAUGGAUGGGUUAAUCAUACAUAAUCUGCUAGCUCAACGCCAAUAGCUAGCAAAUAGAUACAACAAUGCCAACAACUAGCAAAUUGACACAACAAUGCUGCCACCAGUCAAUUGCCACAUUCAAAUGGACCAACCGAGCCAAUUGCCAAUUGCUGCAGCUGUGAAGAAAUUGGAUGCAGCCAGCCAAUUUCCACAUGAUAUUAAGUAGUUGGAAGAUUACAUCUCUCUAAUUUUCCAAAAGAAAAGCAUAUGGUGACAAAUACUCCUAGAUAAUAUCAAUUACAACCACAUAACAGUUGAGCCAUGCAUCAAAUCAGUAACUAGGUUCAGAACCAUGGUUUCCCAAGAGAUGCACCAGAUCGUUACUAUAUUUCAGAUCAGCUAGAUAGGAAUGAAAAUGAAAAUGUUUCAAACUGGUCUCAACUGAUGAUAGAGGGUGGGUGAUAAAGGAACUUGAAGCAUCUUUUUUUGAGGACCAUCUUUAAAAUUAUGUUCCAAGGGUAAAUAAAUAAGGGUAUAGUGGCCAUCUUAUUGAAGCCGAUAUACACAUACCCUUUGAAUGCAGAAAUAAUAGUUAUCAUUUCAGAAACAACAUGAGCAAGUAAUAGCUACAGUACAACAUGAAGGUGGAGGUAACUGCAUAUCCAGGUCAUGGCUUGAUAUCAUUUAGAAAACAACAUGAGCAAGUGGCUGGACCUUGCAGUUACCUACUACAUAACUCUUUGGUUUUGCCUCUGUGUCACAGGCUUUCAGAGAAUACUACCGCUCGAGCAACGACCCCAGUACUAUCAUGGAGUGUGUAUUGGUGAAAGAUAAAUUUGUUUUGCAUGAAAAGACCAAUCUAGUUGUCAGAAACCCCAAGAUGAGUGUCCAUACAAUUCACUGCAUGUUGAUAAAAAACAACUAAAUAGCCACCUAAAUUACAACAGAUAUUUGAAGGCUACAGAAGCUAAGUACCCUGUUCUGCAAUUAGAAGAGACAGACAGCGAACUGGCCAUGUGUGGCCAAGACGACAGCGAACUGCAAGCUAAAAUCCUCGGCAAAGCCAGGUAGGAGAGGAGAAGGAUGGCCAUGGAGACGGCGAACUGCUGCAGAACGGAACCAUGGCCACUGGGUGUCAGACGAGGAGCAAGAAGAGCCGACCCUAGGGUUUGCAGGGGAGGGGAUGGAGAAGUGGAGGAGAGGGGAGGAAUCACCUCGGGGAGAACCGGCGGAGGAGGACGUCGACGCUCUGGCGGUGGCGGGGCGGUGAAGAUCCGGCGGCGGGGCACCUUCUCUCGUUGGCGGCGUCGUGUUCCCUGUGUUCCCUGCGUGUGCCCUCGAGGGUUGGGAGACACGUGGAUAGAAGGGGAUCGAAG
rnacentral:lncRNA from 1 species